GAUGAACGCUGGCGGCGUGCUUAACACAUGCAAGUCGAACGGUGAACGAGGGAGCUUGCUCCCUCCGGAUCAGUGGCGAACGGGUGAGUAACACGUGAGCAAUCUGCCCUGGACUCUGGGAUAAGCGUUGGAAACGACGUCUAAUACCGGAUACGAGGCGUGGGGGCAUCCCCAACGCCUGGAAAGAACUUCGGUCCAGGAUGAGCUCGCGGCCUAUCAGCUUGUUGGUGAGGUAACGGCUCACCAAGGCGACGACGGGUAGCCGGCCUGAGAGGGGGACCGGCCACACUGGGACUGAGACACGGCCCAGACUCCUACGGGAGGCAGCAGUGGGGAAUAUUGCACAAUGGGCGCAAGCCUGAUGCAGCAACGCCGCGUGAGGGACGACGGCCUUCGGGUUGUAAACCUCUUUUAGCAGGGAAGAAGCGAAAGCGACGGUACCUGUAGAAAAAGCACCGGCUAACUACGUGCCAGCAGCCGCGGUAAAAC
rnacentral:rRNA from 1 species